GCUGCAGCCAUGGGGAACCGAGGGAUGGAAGAUCUCAUCCCUUUAGUCAACAAGCUGCAAGAUGCCUUCUCUGCCAUCGGUCAGAAUGCCGACCUGGACCUUCCCCAGAUCGCUGUGGUUGGGGGGCAGAGCGCCGGGAAGAGCUCGGUCUUGGAGAAUUUUGUUGGAAGGGAUUUCCUACCCCGUGGAUCUGGCAUUGUUACCAGACGCCCCCUGGUCCUGCAACUGGUUAAUUCCAAUACAGAAUAUGGAGAAUUUUUGCACUGCAAAGGGAAGAAGUUUACUGACUUCGAGGAGAUACGCCAGGAGAUUGAAGCGGAGACUGAUAGAGUUACUGGAUCCAACAAAGGCAUUUCUCCAGUCCCAAUCAACCUGCGAGUCUACUCUCCCCAUGUCUUGAGUUUGUCCCUGGUGGAUCUACCUGGGAUGACUAAAGUUCCAGUUGGAGACCAACCACCUGACAUUGAGUUCCAAAUCCGUGACAUGCUCAUGCAGUUUGUCACCAAAGAGAAUUGCCUCAUCCUAGCAGUGUCACCCGCUAAUUCCGAUCUGGCCAACUCAGAUGCUCUCAAGAUUGCGAAAGAAGUCGAUCCACAAGGCCAGCGUACUAUUGGAGUCAUCACCAAACUGGAUUUGAUGGAUGAAGGGACUGAUGCUCGGGAUGUUCUAGAAAACAAGCUGCUUCCGCUACGGAGAGGUUACAUUGGUGUGGUCAACAGAAGUCAGAAGGAUAUUGAUGGAAAGAAAGAUAUUUCAGCUGCACUGGGUGCCGAAAGGAAGUUUUUUCUCUCCCACCCAGCAUAUAGGCACAUGGCAGAUCGCAUGGGCACCCCCUUCCUGCAGAAAACACUGAACCAGCAAUUGACCAAUCACAUUCGAGACACACUGCCAGGCCUGCGGAACAAACUCCAAAGCCAGCUGCUUUCCAUUGAGAAAGAAGUGGACGAGUAUAAGAACUUCCGCCCCGAUGACCCUGCCCGCAAGACCAAAGCUUUGCUUCAGAUGGUUCAACAGUUUGCUGUGGACUUUGAGAAACGCAUUGAAGGCUCUGGAGAUCAGAUUGAUACCUAUGAGCUGUCUGGAGGUGCUAGGAUCAAUCGUAUCUUCCAUGAACGAUUCCCCUUUGAGCUGGUGAAGAUGGAAUUUGAUGAGAAGGAGCUCCGUCGAGAGAUCAGCUAUGCCAUCAAGAACAUCCAUGGUAUCAGAACCGGUCUGUUCACGCCCGACAUGGCCUUUGAGACCAUUGUGAAAAAGCAGGUGAAGAAGAUUAAAGAGCCUUGCGUGAAAUGUGUGGACAUGGUCAUUUCGGAGUUAAUCAAUACCGUUAGACAGUGCACCAAGAAGCUCAGUCAGUACCCCCACCUGCGGGAGGAAAUGGAGAGAAUCGUUACAACCCACAUUCGUGAACGAGAGGGCAGGACCAAGGACCAGGUCAUGCUCCUGAUAGACAUUGAGUUGGCCUACAUGAAUACAAACCAUGAAGAUUUCAUUGGAUUUGCCAACGCUCAGCAGAGGAGCAGCCAGAUGAGCAAGAAGAAAGCAGCUGGUAAUCAGGAUGAGAUCCUGGUGAUCCGCAAGGGCUGGCUCACCAUCAACAACAUUGGCAUCAUGAAGGGUGGCGCCAAAGAGUACUGGUUUGUUCUAACAGCUGAGAACCUCUCGUGGUACAAGGAUGAUGAGGAGAAAGAGAAGAAGUACAUGCUACCAGUGGAUAACCUCAAACUACGGGAUGUCGAAAAGGGCUUCAUGUCCAGCAAACAUAUCUUUGCCCUCUUCAAUACUGAACAGAGGAAUGUCUACAAAGACUAUCGGCAGCUGGAGCUGGCAUGUGAGACACAGGAGGAAGUGGAUAGUUGGAAGGCCUCCUUCUUGCGUGCAGGAGUUUACCCAGAGCGUGUUGUGACCAGCGAGUCAGAAGAGAAUGGAUCGGAUAGCUUGAUGCAUUCCAUGGACCCUCAGCUGGAGAGACAGGUGGAAACCAUCAGGAACCUUGUGGACUCCUACAUGGCCAUUGUCAACAAGACCAUUCGUGACCUCAUGCCUAAGACCAUAAUGCACCUUAUGAUAAACAAUACAAAAGAAUUUAUCCACUCAGAACUGCUAGCGAACCUGUACUCUUGUGGAGACCAAAACACUCUGAUGGAAGAAUCAGCCGAACAGGCCCAGCGGCGUGACGAGAUGCUGCGCAUGUACCAUGCCUUGAGGGAGGCACUCAACAUCAUCGGGGACAUCAACACCACCACCAUCAGCACUCCCUUGCCCCCGCCAGUGGACGACUCUUGGCUGCAGGUGCAGAACAUACCGUCCGGACGCAGGUCUCCAACGUCCAGCCCUACACCGCAGAGGAGAGCUCCGGCAGUCCCGCCCACCAGGCCUGGAUCUCGAGGCCCGGCUCCUGGACCUCCGCCUGCUGGUGGUCCCACUCUGGGUGGUGCUCCUCCUGUGCCCUCUAGGCCAGGGGCCUCCCCUGAUCCUUUCGGGCCUCCCCCUCAGGUUCCAUCUCGGCCCAACCGUGCACCUCCCGGUGUCCCCAGAUCUGGCUUUUCCCCACUGGGUGGAGAAUACUGAAUGAGGCCCAAGUCUGAAAGGAAGCGUGUCAGCCUUUGAGAAUCACUAUCAGUGACCCUUGAGGACUGGCAGCCACGCCGCCCGGGCAAAGCUAGCCCCUCCCGCCCGGAGAGUCCAAAGCCACCAUUUGACAUGUAACUCUGCUCCCUCUGAGAUCCAUCUUUUAUCUGCCUAUUAGCUGUUCUGUCCUGGAAUGGUCCGACGCACAUCUUAAAAACACGGCUUUGUUCUGUCGUAGCUUGUGGCUUGCACAUAUCAGACGUGACUUCUAGUGAAACUGGUUUUUCCUUCCUCCCAGUUGCUUUAACUGAAUAAAAAUGAGUUAUAUUGUAGUAAUGAGAAACAUAUCUUUACUGUUAUAUAAAUAUCUAUAAAUAUAUAUAUAUAUAUAUAUAAAGAUCUAAAUCUAUAUGGUGUCCAGAAGUUUUAAAAGCCUUUAAUGCUUCUGAUGUUGAUUUUAGCAAAUACUUGAUUAGGAAGAGUCUAUAUAUGUACACAUGUGCAUCCAACCAAGACCCAGCAGCAAACCUGAGGUUAAUUCUCUGCUGCAUAGAGUUGGGUUAUUUUGUUGCCCCCGAAUUGUGGGUGAAUCUUCGCAGUGCUGGUAGUACCUGUGAUGCUGUCUGUGAUCUGUCAACUCUUGUUCACUGGCUGAAAUAAACUAUCAUUUCUGUACAAUGGAGGACUCCAUGCCUAGAAUAAAAGUAUCUCACUCUGUG